UACGAAGGGGGCUAGCGUUGUCCGGAAUUAUUGGGCGUAAAGAGCUCGUAGGCGGUCUGUCGCGUCGGAUGUGAAAAUCCAGGGCUCAACCCUGGACCUGCAUUCGAUACGGGCAGACUAGAGUUCGGCAGGGGAGACUGGAAUUCCUGGUGUAGCGGUGAAAUGCGCAGAUAUCAGGAGGAACACCGGUGGCGAAGGCGGGUCUCUGGGCCGAUACUGACGCUGAGGAGCGAAAGCGUGGGGAGCGAACAGG
rnacentral:rRNA from 1 species